rnacentral:rRNA from 1 species
AUACGUAGGGGGCGAGCGUUGUCCGGAAUGAUUGGGCGUAAAGGGCGCGUAGGCGGCCCGGUAAGUCUGGAGUGAAAGUCCUGUUUUUAAGAUGGGAAUUGCUUUGGAUACUGUCGGGCUUGAGUGCAGGAGAGGUAAGUGGAAUUCCCAGUGUAGCGGUGAAAUGCGUAGAGAUUGGGAGGAACACCAGUGGCGAAGGCGACUUACUGGACUGUAACUGACGCUGAGGCGCGAAAGUGUGGGGAGCAAACAGGAUUAGAUACCCUGGUAGUCCGCACUGUAAACGAUGAAUGCUAGGUGUAGGGGGUAUCGACCCCUUCUGUGCCGCAGUCAACACAAUAAGCAUUCCGCCUGGGGAGUACGGCCGCAAGGUUGAAACUCAAAGGAAUUGACGGGG